ACCAUGAGAGGGGCAUGUGACCCAGAGCGGGUGCUAGGCCCGUACCGCCGCUGGCCCGCGCGCGGAGUUGCCGUUCUCCCGGGAGUCGGGUUGCUUGGGAGUGCAGCCCUAAGUGGGUGGUAAACUCCACCUAAGGCUAAAUAUGACCGAGAGACCGAUAGCGAACAAGUACCAUGAGGGAAAGUUGAAAAGCACUUUGAAGAGAGAGUUCAAUAGUACGUGAAACCGUUCAGAGGUAAACGGGUGGGACCUCGAAGUCCUAAGACGGUGGUGGAUUCAGUCGGGACGGUGUCCGUUCCGCGCCCGGGUAACCCCUCGACGGGGCCUCGGCGCGCGGCUAUCGAGCCACGUCCCGGCGCAUUUCCACGCCCCGUCCUACGGGCGUCGCGACCGGUUGGGAGGCUGUUGCAAAGGUGGACGCGAAAGGUGGCCGCAUUUUCUUCGGGAUCUGCGGUGUUAUAGUCGGUCCUGCGCUGACGGAUUUCCCGACCGGGGUCGAAUCUGACGUUCCCUUCCGGAAGGAAGCUGCCACGAGGCCGGGUCGCUCGCGGGACGGCGUGCCACCAGCAAAGGUGAGCGCCUUCCGCGGGCAGUUUCGGCCGCGUCGGCCAGCGCCGGGAACUUGAGGUCGCGGCGAGUAGGUCGGUUUCCCACCCGACCCGUCUUGAAACACGGACCAAGGAGUCUAACGCGUGUGCGAGUUACCGGGACUUGAAUAGGCCCGAGGGCGCAAUGAAAGUAAAGGGCGGCCCAGCCGUCCGAAUUGGGAUCCGUGCCCUCGCGGCUCGGCGCACCAAUGGCCCGCCCUGCGCCGGUUUCGGCGGGG
rnacentral:rRNA from 1 species